ACUGUCUUUCAGUUCAGACUGGGGCAAUUUUUCAUGCUACCCUGACACUGUUAAACAAACAGCUAAUCACACUGUUGAGAUUAUAGUGAAAGUCUUCAUCAACAGUGUCACUGAAGGUGAAAAACCAGGAAAGGAAAUACAGUCAUGAAUUUGGACAUAACGUAGCUAGAUCUAAUCUCAUGGACAUCAAAUCUGCCUAGAGCUUUCCAGUAGUUUUUGAAGAUGACUGCUCAUACGGUGUCAAAAAAAUUGUGUAUACACCUACUGAAGCAACAGCAUAAGAGGAAAUGCUAAUAGAAUUAGUGAAAAACUUUAAGAAUGUAGGAAGGUGGCUCACCAAUUCAAUGGAUUUCUGAAGUAAGAGACGGAAGAGAGCUAAAGGGGAAAGGAAAGGACAAAAAGACCAUGAAGGAAAACACUGCAGUAGUCGCAAUGCUGGCAGAGAAAUGACUUACAGCAGCAAAAUGGAGCCUGGCAGCCAAGAAGACCAGACAUGGAGGCAGUUGAUGGAGAUGCUGAGCAGUCUGAUGAAAGGUUUCAUCAGCUGCACUGCUAGAGGCUAGAGGCCAAGUCUCCUGGAAUAGAAGAGGGAUGCUAAUGCUGUUCAUUUCCAAAGCAUAACUUUCUCUAACAAGUAAGUAUUUUUCCAUUUGAAAGAAUAGCUGAGAAUUUAUGAAAAUUCCAGAAUCAUGGUUUUUUUAGGCUGACUUGCAAUAAUGCUAGUAAGUCUUAUUAUAGUGAUAACACAGGCUCUAGAAGGUGUUGAAGCAAUACACCUUAGUUCCUGUGAACUCUAAGGCGUUGUAUAUGUUACAAAUAAAUAGAGUGUGGAUUUUAUUAAUUGCA
rnacentral:lncRNA from 1 species